rnacentral:RNase_P_RNA from 2 species
CCAGUGGGCCAGGUGGCCGCUGCGGCGCGCGAGCGUCGUAGAGGAAAGUCCGGACUCCGCCGGGCAAGGGUGCCGGGUAACUCCCGGGCGGCGUGAGCCGACGGAAAGUGCAACAGAAACAUACCGCCAGCGUGGGUUCGCCUGCGCCGGUAAGGGCGAAAUGGUGCGGUAAGAGCGCACCGGGGUCCUGGUAACAGGGCCGCCGUGCAAACCCCACCCGGAGCAAGGCAAAAUAGGGGAGGAGGGGCGCCCGGCCCGUUUGUACUCCCGGGUCUGCCGCUAGAGCGUCACGGUAACGUGGCGUCGAGAGAAAUGGCCAUCCCGCUGGCUGCUAGCUGCUAGCUUCUAGCUGCUAGGAGCCGGCGUGACAGAAUCCGGCUUAUCGGCCCACUGGAUCG